CGACCGCGGUAUUUUGACCGUGCGAAGGUACACMBAUCAAUAGUCUCUUAAUUAGAGGCUGGAAUGAAUGGUUGCACGAGAAAGAAGCUGUCUCUUCUUUAAGAAUUGACACMBACUUUUAAGUGAAAAGGCUUAAAUAAUCUAAGGGGACGAUAAGACCCUAUAAAACUUUACAAUUUAUGUUCACMBCAUGAAUUUUCGUCUAAAUUAAGUGAAAUAUACUAUUGUUAGGUUGGGGCGACUAUUAUAUAGCACMBUAACAACUGUAAUUUAAAGAAAUAAGUUUAUUUAGUUAAUUGAUCCUUUAAUAAAGAUUAUAAGAUUACACMBCUUUAGGGAUAACAGCGUAAUUUUUUCUGAGAGUUCUUAUCGAUGAAAUUAGUUGCGACCUCGAUGUUGAAUUAACACMBCUUUU
rnacentral:rRNA from 1 species